AUUGAACGCUGGCGGCAUGCCUUACACAUGCAAGUCGAACGGUAACAGGUCUUCGGAUGCUGACGAGUGGCGAACGGGUGAGUAAUACAUCGGAACGUGCCUAGUAGUGGGGGAUAACUACUCGAAAGAGUGGCUAAUACCGCAUGAGAUCUACGGAUGAAAGCAGGGGAUCGCAAGACCUUGUGCUACUAGAGCGGCCGAUGGCAGAGGAGGUAGUUGGUGGUAUAAAAGCUUACCAAGCCGACGAUCUGUAGCUGGUCUGAGAGGACGAUCAGCCACACUGGGACUGAGAAACGGCCCAGACUCCUACGGGAGGCAGCAGUGGGGAAUUUUGGACAAUGGGCGCAAGCCUGAUCCAGCAAUGCCGCGUGCAGGAUGAAGGCCUUCGGGUUGUAAACUGCUUUUGUACGGAACGAAAAGCCCCGGGUUAAUACCCUGGGGUCAUGACGGUACCGUAAGAAUAAGCACCGGCUAACUACGUGCCAGCCGCCGCCGUAA
rnacentral:rRNA from 1 species